GGGGGGGGGGGGGGGGGGGGGGGGGGGGGGGGGGGGGGGGGGGGGGGGGGGGGGGGGGGGGGGAGCCCAGUUUGGGGAUUCCAGAGGGAUUUGAGCCCAGUUCAGGAAUUCCAGAGGGAUUUGAGCCCAGUUUGGGGAUUCCAGAGGGAUUUGAGGCAGGAGCAGAGUGAGGAAAACACGGCAGGAAUAUCAGCGAACAUCAGGAAUAUCGGAAAUCCGAUUGGAAAGAGCUCGGACACGGCUGGAGCCGCACUCCCAGUGCUCCCAGUCCAUCCCAGUGGCUCCACACUGAUCCCUCUCCCAGCGAGGGCAGCGGGGCCUGAGGGUGUCCAGAGGGGUCACUCUGUGUCCAGCUGGACAUUCUGGGCUGUCCAGAGGGGUCACUCUGUGUCCAGCUGGGCUCUCCGGCCGUGCCUCGUCCAUGCCAAAGUCACUCCAGUAGGGGAAGCUCUCCAGGCCAGCACAGCUGGAAAAGAG
rnacentral:lncRNA from 1 species